rnacentral:misc_RNA from 1 species
CGCACCUCUCAACCACCGUAGGUCUUACCUGCGCGCUGGCUUGGAUCGUGGCCGCUGGCGAACGCACGUUUGCCCGGCCGAAAUGCAUGCGGAGCGCCAUACGCGUCGCCGCGACGUCACCCGCGUUGUAGACCCCUCGCUGGUGAUGUCGCAGCAGUGCGGCUCCCACGAAUCAUCA